AGGAGGCCACUCCUGAUGCUAAUGGGACUGGAGUCACUCUCCUCCACUCUGCUUUUGUGCUGCAAGCCACAAGGAGGAACAUCCGGAGGAAUGAAACACUGGGAGGUCAGGUGUGUUCAUUCUGUGUCCAGCCUUGGGGUCAGCAGUCGUGGGAAACGGCACUGCUUUAUUCGGGUCAGUCACAAUGCCCUCUUACCUGUGGCUGACCCCUGCUAGAAGAACAAGUGACCUCCCCCGCAUCACUCCUCACCCCUCUUCUCUCUCAUCCCUUCAUUCCCUUCAAUCAGCUCUCCACCUCCACAAUCUACAGCGGCAUCUUUCAACCGCCCUCUCACUCGGCGAGGGGCCAAGAGCGCCAUUCAAAAAAGUUCAGAGCCUGACUGAAGAUGGAAAAAUUACAGGUUUUCGGCUCCAGGGUCCAGCCUCUGGACUUCAGGUUAGAGAUUCUGGGCUCUAGUCUCAAGGUUUGAGGCUCCACAGUCCAGGGUCCAGGGUCCAGGCUCUGGAGUCUAGGGUCUAGGUUAUGGGCUCCAGGUUCCAGGAUCUGGGUUCUUGUCUCCAGGCUCCAUGUCCCAGGGUGCAGGUUCCAGGCCAGGGCUCGAGGUUCUUGGAAAUCCAAGUGAGGCUGCACAAUAGCUGCCUUUCUUUCACAUUCAGAUGCUACAAAGUAGGCAUGCUCAAAAGCCUUAAUCCCACAUUCACAAGCCAGAGGGACAAGAGAAGCCUUUCACACAGGAAGGUGGUGUUCCUGGGUCUCAGGUAUGCCCUCGCACCCUCCCUCUCUCCUUCCUUCCCUCCAUCCCUCCACAACUUCUCCCUGCCAUGUCAAAAGAAAGAAAGGGAAAGAAAAACAAUUAUCUAAAUUAUAGUGAUUCGUUUUUCCGCUCUUGUUUCUCAGAACA